UGCAUAUGCUCGGGUGAUAGGUCUUGAUGAGCGCCCAGGUCGUGUACGUGGGGUAGGCUUUGGGAUCACCCCAUCAGGAAGAAGUGCCAAAAACGCAUCACAGUUUACCUCGACUACUACUCCAUUGUCAAGCAGAACUCACGAAAGGAUGUCAGACUUGGAGACGAGUCAUGAAGAGCUAAGGGAGGCACUAGCUAAAUCUAGGGAGGAACUAGCAAUUUGUAGGGGGGAAGUAGCUCAAUCCGAGGCGAGGCAUAGGGAGGAAAUGGCUGAAGCUGAGGCGAGGGCCGAAGCACGGAUGGCUGAAAUGAUGGCGUCGAUGAAAACCAUGUUUGCUUCAUUUAGCCAGGGGAUACAUAAUUUGGGUUAUUCUCAGGAUGACAGUGCUUGAUGGGAAUGGAACUGUGAAUCCUGAGACUUAUUUUGAAGUGGACAACAAAGCAAAUUGGUUGCUGCUGUGGCUGUUUGAGAGCAAUUUAGAAUGUACAAAAAUCAUUUUGGUAUAUUUUUUGUGAUGUACAAAAAUCCUUGUGAUGUAGGAAUGCGAACUUGUGUAUUUCCUUUGUGAUGUUCAUGAAACUUGUGAUGUUUAUUAUGGAACUUGUGAUCUUGGGAUGUAAUGACGUUUAUGCAACUUGUUUAUUUUCUUUUUGAUGUAUAUGGAACUUGUGAUGUAGGAAUGGGAAGUUGUUUAAUUCCCUUGUGAUGUUUA